AGUGCAAUUGCUGGGUCAUAUGGCAAUUGCAUAUUUAGAUUUCUAAGAAACUACCAAACUGUUUUCCAGAGUGGUUUUGCCAUUUUAUAUCCCCACCAGCAAU
rnacentral:pre_miRNA from 1 species